rnacentral:ncRNA from 1 species
AACACGGUCCGGGCCCCUCUGGCAGGGACGUCGGCUUGCGCCGGCCAACCCUGCGAUGUCGGAUCACCGCG